rnacentral:rRNA from 1 species
UACGUAGGGUGCAAGCGUUAAUCGGAAUUACUGGGCGUAAAGCGUGCGCAGGCGGUUAUGCAAGUCAGGGGUGAAAUCCCCGGGCUCAACCUGGGAACUGCCUUUGUGACUGCAUAGCUAGAGUACGGUAGAGGGGGAUGGAAUUCCGCGUGUAGCAGUGAAAUGCGUAGAUAUGCGGAGGAACACCGAUGGCGAAGGCAAUCCCCUGGACCUGUACUGACGCUCAUGCACGAAAGCGUGGGGAGCAAACAGG